rnacentral:lncRNA from 1 species
GCGUGCCUCGCUCCGCAGUGAGUUUCUCCAUGGACUGAGGAGAGACCUCAAAGAGGCUAGCUCGAAAGCCUCAGGUAGUAAGCCUCAUAAAUACCUCCCACCACCGCGUACUCGCACGAGCGCACUAUCAAUGAAACGACAUGUCUGGUGCUUAAAGCGGGUGUCAAGGAAUUAACCAGAGGUCGUCAACCGGUGAGUCUGCCCACUUAUCGAUAAAUUAUUGGGACCAAUUGGACUUUCAGAUGAACCGAUGAGCAAUAAUGCGCCGCCUCUCUGGACGCACCAUCUCCAAAUACAUUUCUAUUAAAUCUUUUAACCGGCAGUCCGAAAAUCGGCGCACGACACACGACUCUCCUUCAUGAAGCAAGAAGCAAAGUUUGAGAAAAGAAAAUAUAUUUGUUGGUGACCAUUGACCAGAGGAAAAGGGUAAAUCGAAGGGCGGAGCGAAGAGGCCAUUGGUGAUCGGGGUUAACGAUUUGUAUUAAGUGGUGUACAUUGUUUAAUAAUUCCCCGGAAUUAAAUUGUAAGACACAAAAUGAGAAUGACUACGGGCUCGCGACGGAUCCUAUCACUCGAUGCUUAUGGAAUAUUACAACCACAUGAUCUCUUUCAGACCCUGACCCGAGGAGCGAUAGAUUUGCACUCCGCUAUCAAACCACACGGAUUGCGACUUCGCAUAUCUCUGUCGCGACUAAGGCGAGAACUUCCGCGCAAGAUAAAAAUAUUUAUAUCGUUGAAAUGGUUUAUUUCGAGCCAGACAAAGUGUAUUAAAAAUCCUCAUCACCGUCAGUUAUUUCUAUACCCCACAUGGCAUAAUUUUCUUCAAAUUUGAGUACCACUCUCGGAAGGAAAAAAUUCAUAGAAUUUCCCAGAUUCGCUGGAAAAAAAAAAUAAUUCUUUAAGCGAGAGUAUUUCGACAGACCGAAAUUUUCCUCUCUGUCAAAAUUGUCAACGUGCCAAGAAGUUACCCUUGUAACCCGAAAAUUCAAGAGAACUCUCCUCCUUGUCACUCCGAAUGUUUACCCGCAAAAAUGCCUACGCCUCGAAGUGGCGGAUCUUUUUCGCUGCUGAAAUGAUUAACGCGUAUAAAAAAGGAAAGGGGUCCGAAAAUCACAUAAGUUCCUCGCUGCCAAACUGUCAAGGUGCCAAAUGUCCAUGACCGGAGGCCCGGGUCGAAAAGGGCCGACUUAGUGGCGUCGCAAACUUUGCUUAGAAGUCGGGGAUUUUCCGGGGGGCCGAAACUGUCAAGAGUCAACGAGUGUGGCAAAAAGGAGUAAACUUGACAGUCUGUACUUACGAAGC